CGUAUCUUUUUUUCCUUUUAUCUUCGAAAAAAACUAUGUUUUUUCUUUUCAUACAACUUUUUUGUAAUUUUAUUUUUUGUAUAUUUGCAGAUACUUGAUGAGGUUGCGAGUCUUAAUGAACAACAUUUAUAUAUGAGUCGAAUUGAGAGUUCUGAGCUUCUACAAACCUUUAAAUACGAGAAUGCAGAAACUCAAAAGACGAUCAUGAGGCUGGAACAAGCUGCUGCUGCGUUUGUAAAAGGAGAUAUUAAAUCACAUGGAGCUUUUGCUAUUUUACAAGGGAGGCAUAUGAAGUACUGUUUUAUAAGAGGGAAUGGUACUCUACUCUUGAGCCUACAUAAAUAAUAUAAGUGAUGGGAAGUUUUUGAAGACAAAUCAAAAUGCAGAGAGCAUAUUAUAGUUUCCAAGAAGCCCAACCAAAUUAAGAAGUCCAAUUUCUCUUUAAAGUAUACAAUUAGUCAACUUAAAACGUUUCGCCGUAAAUUUGGUUCUGAAUCGAAAGGGAUCAAACUUUAACCCUUGAUAUGAAUAUGUCUUUUUUUUACAUGUGUCAGCUUUUCUUUUAUACAUGUUUUAUGUUUUUUUUUAUGUUUCUUAUGUAUGAGUUG